UUCACCGGCGCUGUCUGCGGACCGGUGAACCUCGCCCUGGGGCGCAGGGUAAAGCACUCACCUUUCUCAACCCGCCUGACUCUUAGCUUCAUUAUCUCGCCACAAGCCUUACAUCUGGUGCCGAAACCCGGGAGCAGCAGCCAGCCCCCGCUUGCUGGCGCUGGCGCGCUGGGCCGCCCGCCUCUCCUCCCUUGCGGCUCAGGACCUAAGACCUUCCGCCCGGUUCUGGCUGUGUGAGAGGUAACACGACCCACCGCUGGCCCUGCUGGGAUUGGUGGGAUUGGCUGAAGACUGACGGUGCCCGGCCAUCACCCUCAUCAGCCUCACCUGGCCGACCCCCAUCACCCUCGCAGAGCCCAGGAUAACGAUCCAGGUAGCGGAACCGCCUCCAUGAGAUGUCCAGAGUUACAGUGAACCAGCUGCCACUCCACCCACACUCCCGCUGCCCACGAGCCCGCCCGUCGCUGACCAGGCCUAGUUAUCAGCAGGAAGCAGUAAGACUGACCUCGCUGCCCCUUUAUAACCAAAAAGGCCGGAACGUUAGGUCAGCUGUGGGCAUGGUCAAAGCGCCCGGGAGCCAAGUCAGACCCCUCUGCCAAGUCAGGCCCCUCCUCGCAUGACAGAAACUGGGGCCCCUGGCGUUUCCCCCAAAAAGGCAGCAGACCGCUGGUGCGAUAAACAACUCCGAUGCAGCCGCUCGCGCCCGAUCUGUGCUGGGGGUCCUGCUCACCUGCCACCUCACUCAGCCAACCCCCACCCCAAAAAUCGCAUAUAUGCCUCCCUGGCUCUGCCCUGGGCGCGACUUCACCGGCCCCGUCUGUGGACCGGUGAACCUCCCCCGGCGGCGCGGAGUAAAGCCCUCACCUUUCUCAACCCGCCUGACUCUCUGAGCCUCAUUAUCUCGCCGCAAGCCUUAAAGGUAGAAUCAGAGCUAAUCUAUAUAAAUUUUAAACAGUUCAAAUAUGAAAGACCUUUCUUAUGAUUGUGAUUAUGAUUAAUGAUUAUGCCUAAAAUAUAUGCAUCCAAAAAUGAAAAGAAUGUUUCCUCAUUUACUGGGGAUCUACUGGUGUAUGAAUAUGGAAGAAAUUACUGAGAAGAUACCAGGAUCAGACAAAUGGGAAUCUGAGCUUUAGGAAUAAUUAUUGCCUGCCCCUCUCACUGCCAAGGGUAAUGCAUCUUGGAAUAAUGCAUAUUCCUGCUCCACUACCUUCCUUCAGAGCCCUGUUUUCAGAAAUUGGCAUCAUCCGGUCCUCAUUCCUUUUUCCUUCACGGACCACCUCAUGUAACUAUCCUGUUCCUGCUUCUAUGCAUACACAAAGUGAAAUAAUUUAGUUUUAAAAGUUCCCAAGAAUGAACUAAAGUAUUUCAUCCCAUUCUUUUUUUAAGAUAUCUUUGGUUCUCAAUCCAUGUACAGAUCGCAAGAGCUCACCCAUGCUGAGCUGGAAUGUUCUCUUUUAAAAAGAAAAUGACAGAAAUUUUUUAAAAUACAGAGAAAUACUAAGGGACAUCCAUAGUGCUAUCUCCCAAAAUUAAAAUAGUUAACAGUUAUGUGCAUUACUUUUUAAAUUGCAUUACUUCUUUAAAAAAACUAGAAUAUUACAAACAAAAUUGAAGAUGUUAUUUUACACUGCUCUAUUACUGAGUUAUUUCAUCCCUCUUAUAAAUUAAUGAGUAUUAAGAAUCUGAUAUAGGAGUGACAUCAGAAGCAGUACAGAAUAGGGGGGUCCCCUUGAUCUCUCCCCUUGAAGCUACAACAAGUGGAACAGCUAUAAUUCAACAAAGGAUUUCCUGCGCAACACACAACACUUCUGAGAGAUCAACGCAACGACACAUCUGAAGCGGUGGUGCCCUGAGACUGAGGCGACCUGAUCACUGAGGAGACACCCACCUCCCCAGGGAAUACAGACAUUUUUUACUGCCCAGCAGAGUUCCAAGAAGCAGAAGCAGUACAAGAGAAAAUAAAACACUUACACUCCCGAGCCACCUACUAGAAAACAACAAACUCCUCUUCUCAUC